rnacentral:rRNA from 1 species
UACGUAGGUGGCAAGCGUUGUCCGGAUUUACUGGGCGUAAAGAGCGCGCAGGCGGUCGAAUAAGUCGAAUGUGAAAGCCCCCGACUCAACUGGGGAGGGUCAUUCGAUACUGAUCGACUCGAAGGCAGGAGAGGGUAGUGGAAUUCCCGGUGUAGUGGUGAAAUGCGUAGAUAUCGGGAGGAACACCAGUGGCGAAGGCGACUACCUGGCCUGUUCUUGACGCUGAGGCGCGAAAGCUAGGGGAGCAAACGGGG